rnacentral:misc_RNA from 1 species
GUGAAUCAUCGAAUCUUUGAACGCACAUUGCACUCCUUGGUAUUCCGAGGAGUAUGCCUGUUUCAGUAUCAUGAGCACUCUCACACCUAACCUUUGGGUUUAUGGCGUGGAAUUGGAAUGCGCCGACUGUCAUGGUUGGCCCUUCUAAAAUGUAGUUCUUGGCUGUCACCUAAUACAGCAGUUUGGCCUAAUAGUUUUGGCAUUCAUUGUCAAAUCUUUGGCUAACAUUUGCUCCAGGAGUCAGUCUUGAUAAUACAGAAAACUCAUUCAAAUUUUGAUCUGAAAUCAGGUAGGGCUACCCGCUGAACUUAAGCAUAUCAAUAAGCGGAGGA